GGAGAGAUGGCCGAGCGGUCUAAGGCGCUGUCUUAAGGAGAAUUCAAGUAGUUCUUCGGCAGUCUUCGGGCGUGGGUUCGAAUCCCACUCUCUUCA